rnacentral:ncRNA from 1 species
GAUAACGCUAUGAGGAAGAGAGUAGGCUGUCUAAAAAGGUGCAGGCAGAGAGAAUGAUCCAUCGGCUGAAAGAUCAUUUGUGCGGCAAGGCGGUUGAAGUUCACUUCUGAGCGGCGUAGCUGAAGGAUGCAAGUUGCAUUUGGGUAGGUUGCGACGGUUGGCACCGUUAUAGGCCGAUAUAAGUGCUUGCCUUUUCGUUUUCUAGGAAGGAAAUGUAAGGCAGGAAUUUUGGGUGGUACCGCGGAGGCUCGCCUUCGUCCCGAUU